CACGUAGGGGGCGAGCGUUGUCCGGAAUCAUUGGGCGUAAAGCGCGCGUAGGCGGUUACUCAAGUCGGAUGUGAAAGCCCUCGGCUUAACUGAGGAAGUGCACCCGAAACUGAGUAGCUAGAGUACUAAAGAGGGUCGCGGAAUUCCCGGUGUAGAGGUGAAAUUCGUAGAUAUCGGGAGGAACACCGGUGGCGAAGGCGGCGACCUGGGCCGGUACUGACGCUGAGGAGCGAAAGCGUGGGUAGCAAACAGG
rnacentral:rRNA from 1 species